rnacentral:rRNA from 1 species
CCCCUAGAUGUUCUGGGCCGCACGCGCGCUACACUGAACAGUUCAACAAGUCUUAACCUUGGCCGAUAGGUCUGGGUAAUCUUUGAACGCUGUUCGUGAUUGGGAUAGACCUUUGCAAUUAUGGGUCUUCAACGAGGAAUUCCUAGUAAACGCAAGUCAUCAGCUUGCAUUGAUUACGUCCCUGCCCUUUGCACACACCGCCCGUCGCACCUACCGAUUGAAUGGUCCGGUGAAAUCUCGGGACGGCGGCUUGGUCGCUUGCGUCCGACUGCUGAAACUUGAUUAAACCAUNUNAUUUAGNGGAAGGUGAANUCGUANCA